rnacentral:rRNA from 1 species
UGGGGGAUAUUGCGCAAUGGGGGGAACCCGUGACGCAGCAACGCCGCGUGAAGGAAGAAGGUUUUCGGAUCGUAAACUUCUUUAAGUGGGGAAGAUAGUGACGGUACCCACAGAAUAAGCCACGGCUAACUACGUGCC